GUUAAUGCAAUAACAUGGCCGCGCACAGGUGUGUUAAGGUAGCAUAACUAAGAUAACUGUAAGAUACUUGUUGCUCGUCCAGUAGAAGAUUAUUGAAUAAAAUGGAUUUUACCAUGCUGCUUUUACUGAUAUGUGUUGGAUUUCCGCUUUGCUCAGCUCUAAUGUGUACACAAUGUCACUCACUGACUGCAACAAGCGUCAUGAACAUGGGGACCGUGUUUCAGUCCAUACUCCCCAAUCUGCAUGACCCCCAGUGUGGCCUGGCCUACCAUAGCUUGAUGACCACCACCCCCACCCCCAUGCAGCCCUUCAAUCAGCAGCCAGUGCUCCCAACCACCUGUACCAUCAGUGCAGUGGGGGGCACUAACACAGAGAUCAGGUGUGGCUUCUACAAAGGAUACAUAGAGGUCAUGUCUCAGGAUGGCAUAGGUAUAAAUAUUAUAUUAAAAUGUCCUUUAACCAGUCAACUUUUUAAUAAUUUAAGAAAGUAUAUUACCCUACAGUAUCUUCCUAAGCCGAGGGUUUCUGAAACAUCAUGUGCAUAACAUUAUAUAUGCAGAUCAGAAACUCUAUUAAAUAACUUGGGAGGAUGCAUGGCCUUACUCACAUAGAAGUAGAGUUUAAGGCCAAAAAAAAAAGUGUUCAUAACGUAUACACACUGAAAAAAAAUCUUUGAAUUUAACAGGAUAACUAUACAUGAACGUGUAUAAUCCAGUUCCUUAGACAGGUAUACAAAAAAUAUCAAAUGAUUAUAAUUAAUACUUCAUUUGAAUUUAAUAGUUGUUGUCAUAUAUUACAUUAACAAACUGUACUUCUGUUUACUUACAGGGGCUGCUUCUCUGAACGUGUUCUCAAUGACAUGCUACAAUGUUGACAUCAAUGUAGACUGGGGGUGCACGGCCCGCGAGUUUCCUCUUCCUGGGGACAAUCUUCACUUCGAGAACAUCCUGCAAAGUAAAUUCUCCAACACGGUGGUGCUAACUCGCUUUGUGGGUAGUGUGUGUUACUGCCGCCGGACAGACUGCACAGAUGUCAUCAAUGGCAGCUCCAAGUUAACUCCCCCAGUCCUUUGGAGUGUUCUUCUUGGUCUUCUAUUAGUACUUGUUAAGAAAUUUCAGUAUUGAAACUCAUUGACUAGUAUAUAUACCAGUACUUUUUGUGUGCUUGUAUUUGGUUAAAUGUUUUACUCAUCUAUUUUAAUGAAAACCUCAAUUUAAACAAAUUGCCAUCAUGAACCUAGAUUUUUUUUUUUAGAAAAUGUACCGUAUUAUGUUUAUCCAUCUCUUAUUAAUACUCAAGACCUUAUCUAAAGUAAAGAUGGAUGCCUUGUUACUGCAAGAGAAGUUGAAGAAUGAUUUUACAUUGAAUAUCAUCUUCCACAUUUCAAAUAAAAAUGUGCCAUUAACAUAUACAUGACUGUAUAGAUCUAUAUUUUAUAUAUAUUUUCAAUGUUAUUUCUCAAUUUCAAGACUUUUACUUAUGUAUUUUUAUUUAUACUCAGUUACAUGUACAUGUAUCUGCAAACAUGAAUCUCUUGAACAUUUCAUCAUAUAUGCAUAUCUUAAAAACAUUAAUUACUACAAAUAAUCAAGGUACUAUGCAUUUCUGGAUAUUUUUUGUUAUAUGUAAUGCAUUAUUCAUGCAUUUAUCAAAAUGUAUUUUUGCAUGACCUUCAUUAAUAAAGAUUUACAAUAACCAUAGUAA
rnacentral:misc_RNA from 1 species